rnacentral:rRNA from 1 species
AACGAACGCUGGCGGCAUGCCUAACACAUGCAAGUCGAACGAGACCUUCGGGUCUAGUGGCGCACGGGUGCGUAACGCGUGGGAACCUGCCCUUAGGUUCGGAAUAACUCCCCGAAAGGGGUGCUAAUACCGGAUAAUGUCUUCGGACCAAAGAUUUAUCGCCUUUGGAUGGGCCCGCGUUGGAUUAGCUAGUUGGUAGGGUAAAAGCCUACCAAGGCGACGAUCCAUAGCUGGUCUGAGAGGAUGAUCAGCCACACUGGGACUGAGACACGGCCCAGACUCCUACGGGAGGCAGCAGUGGGGAAUAUUGGACCAUGGGCGAAAGCCUGAUCCAGCAAUGCCGCGUGAGUGAUGAAGGCCUUAGGGUUGUAAAGCUCUUUUACCUGGGAUGAUAAUGACAGUACCGGGAGAAUAAGCUCCGGCUAACUCCGUG